rnacentral:rRNA from 1 species
AACUAUAACGGUCCUAAGGUAGCGAAAUUCCUUGUCAGGUAAGUUCUGACCCGCAUGAAAGGCGUAAUGAUUUGGGCACUGUCUCAACAGCCCGCCCGGCGAAAUUGUAGUACCGGUGAAGAUGCCGGUUACCCGCGACAAGACGGAAAGACCCCAUGGAGCUUUACUGUAGCCUAAUAUUGGGUUUCGAUGUUGCAUGCACAGGAUAGAUGGGACACUGGGAAGCAGGUGCUUUGGCGCUUGUGGAGUGGCCGUUGGGAUACCAUCCUUGCGAUAUUGGAAUUCUAACCUGCGCCUUUGAAUCAAGGCGGGGGACAUUGUUAGGUGGGCAGUUUGACUGGGGCGGUCGCCUCCUAAAGAGUAACGGAGGCGUUCAAAGGUUCGCUCAGCUUGAACGGAAAUCAAGCAAAAGAGUGCAAACGCAGAAGCGAGCCUAACUGCGAGACUGACGGGUCGAGCAGUAACGAAAGUUGGAGUUAGUGAUCCGGUGGUAUGUGAGUGGAAAUGCCAUCGCUCAACGGAUAAAAGUUACCCUGGGGAUAACAGGCUGAUCUCCCCCAAGAGUCCACAUCGACGGGGAGGUUUGGCACCUCGAUGUCGGCUCAUCGCAUCCUGGGGCUGUAGUAGGUCCCAAGGGUUGGGCUGUUCGCCCAUUAAAGCGGUACGCGAGCUGGGUUCAGAACGUCGUGAGACAGUUCGGUCCCUAUCUGUCGUGGGCGCAGGAUAUUUGAUGGGAGCUGUUCCUAGUACGAGAGGACCGGAGCGGACGUACCUCUGGCGCACCAGUUGUUCUGCCAAGAGCAUAGCUGGGCAACUAUGUACGGAUCGGAUAAACGCUGAAAGCAUCUAAGCGUGAAGCCGACCCAAAGAUAAGAUAUCCCAUUGUUUCAAACAAGUAAGACCCCUUGAAGACUACAAGGUUGAUAGGCACGAUGUGUAAGUGGAGCGAUCCAUUCAGCAAGCGUGUACUAAUAGGUCGAGGGCUUGACCAC